GAGUUAUGUCCCUUUGUCCGAAGACGAUGUCCGGCACACCGGUUAACAUGAUGUCUUGACAUUGAGGUCCUCGGUGAAAGGAAAUUUCCUUUGCUGCUUAUUGAGAGGCGACAAGGACUGAGGCGGGGUUGACGUUUGUGUGCCAUCCAUGUCUUCAGCCACCCAUCACGAAUAAACAUCCCGACAUACCAACAUUAGAACGGACGAUGCCAGUGGAAGAAAACCAAACCACGAUGUCCUCUCUACAGCCCAAUGUUUUACCAGACGACUCAGCGUAUAUACAACAGACACAUUGAGCGAAAAUGACACCACCGCACUGCAGAUGAGCGUAGUUGAUUUGAAUACAACCAGAGAUCAGUUACAGCUUUCAGACAUCAGCGACAACGUCCUAACAGAGUUGAAUUCUACAGCAAGCCACAUCUGCCGAGCCAUCGGUAAGCUGGCAGAGACGGCAACAACUGAAUCAACCGUACACUUACAGCCUAUAUGGACGCACAGUGGAUGAUGAAUCCCGUCUCUGCAGUUGAGGAAUGAUCCGUUUUCAGACAGAACAUCGAUGUCAAGAGGAUGGAUGCAACAAGAGCAUUUAAUGGCUCAGCCGCAUUCCUAGAGUUAUCAGUGCCAUAUAUUGUACCUUGGUCCCCAUCACCACCCAGACGGCAAUGAGGCAUCCUAUUUCUGAAGGAAGAAGUAUCACGCCUUGAACAUUCAAGCAGUUUUUAACAAUAAGUUUAGAUUCCUUGAAGUUGUGGCGCAAUGGUAUGGAGCCACAAACGAUGCCGCCAUAUUCUUACUAGUAUGAGAUGUCUGGUUUAAAGGCUCAUCUGGAGGCAAAUGAAGCUGGGGUGUUGCUGCGAUACUCAGGUUCUGCUCUUAUAAAUAACUUACUGACAUCCAUCCUCAGACUGCUUAGAUUGCAUACUAUGAUGUCGAUGCCAUGGGUGGUUUGGUAAUGGAUUUGGCUUUUGGCCUGCUUAUGUCACGCUUGAGAUAUCUGCACAGAAGCGGAGGCUGGCUGAUGUUUUCACCAGGUUAAUUGCAGUAGAUUGUCAUCACCUGCAUGAAACUACACAAUGUGUGCAUUGACAAUAGUCUAGAUUUCAAGGGCUGAAAAUGACAAUAACACUCAACCACUGGUGCAAGUUGGCCACGCGCACCAUCAUACUUGUCUACGUUAACCUUAUUGAUAAAUUACUUAAAGUGACACUCCUAUUCAAAAUUAAUACAUACACAUGUAUAACAAACAACCAUUAUGACUGCUAAACAUUUAACUACUUACUUAAUCAUGCAUUUGUGGAAAAUAUUAAUUACUAAUAACAAUAUUGAAACCGUGUAUUUGAUAGCAGAAAGCACAAAAAUAUUAAAUAAUUGGUGAAUGCUUGAAGAUUUACUAUGUUAUACUAUAGUUUCAUUUGGUAGAAAUAUCGUGUUUUCUUUGAAAUUAAACUCGGUAUCCUUCAUAAGAGCCAUUGUUUUCGACAUUUAUUCAUCCUUUUUGGAACAUCAACAAAAAUCUUAUUAAUUUUGGUAAAAUGUAUUUGGGAGUAACAGUGCAUCUUUUAACAUACCAACAUUGAUUGAGGUAAAAUCAUUGUUAAGGUGUUGUUGUCGGGCGUAACUAGAAGUAUGUUUAAGAUAUUCAAAUAAAACUCGUUAAACUGUUGCCAGAGACAAUGUGCACAUGAUUGUUGAAUAAUGCUCCUUUAAUGAAUCAACUAACUCUCUGUUGCAUUUGCUAAGAGGUGGAAUCAUGUCCCUUUAAGGAAUGAAUUGACAAAUGGUUCCAUUCGCUCUAAGGCGGAAGGUGGAAUGUGCCACUUUAAUGAAUGAGCUGACAAUCGGUUGCAUACGCUCUGAAGCAGAAUCACGCCCCUUUAAUGACAGAACCGACUCUGGGUUGCAUUUACUCUGAAGUGGAAUCACGCCCCUUUAAUAAAUAAACUGACUGGGUUGCAUUCGCUCUGAAGCAGAAUCACGCCCCUUUAAGAAAUGAGCUGACAAUCUGUUGCAUACGCUCUGAAGCGGAAGUAUGCCCCUUUUAUGAAUGAACCGACUCUGGGUUGCAUUCACUCUGAAGUGGAAUCACGCCCCUUUAAUAAAUAAACUGACUGGGUUGCAUUCGCUCUGAAGCAGAAUCACGCCCCUUUAAGAAAUGAGCUGACAAUCUGUUGCAUACGCUCUGAAGCGGAAGUAUGCCCCUUUAAUGAAUGAACUGACUCUGGGUUGCAUUUACUCUAAAGUGGAAUCACGCCCCUUUAAUAAAUGAACUGACCCUGGGUUGCAUUCGCUCUGAAGCGGAAGUAUGCCCCUUUAUUGAAUUAACCGACUCUGGGUUGCAUUUACUCUAAAGUGGAAUCACGCCCCUUUAAUAAAUGAACUGACCCUGGGUUGCAUACGCUCUGAAGCGGAAGUAUGCCCCUUUAAUGAAUGAACUGACUCUGGGUUGCAUUUGCUCUGAAGAGGAAUCAUGCCCCUUUAAUAAAUGAACUGACACUGGGUUGCAUUCGCUCUGAAGCGGAAGUAUGCCCCUUUAUUGAAUUAACCGACUCUGGGUUGCAUUUACUCUAAAGUGGAAUCACGCCCCUUUAAUAAAUGAACUGACCCUGGGUUGCAUACGCUCUGAAGCGGAAGUAUGCCCCUUUAAUGAAUGAACUGACUCUGGGUUGCAUUUGCUCUGAAGAGGAAUCAUGCCCCUUUAAUGAAUGAGCUGACUCUCGGCUGGAUUCGCUCUGAGGCGGAAUUAUGCCCCUUUAAUGAAUAAACUGGCUCUGGGUUGCAUUUACUCUAAAGUGGAAUCAUGCCCCUUCAAAAAUGAGCUGACUCUGGGUUGCAUUCGCUCUGAAGCGGAAGUAUGCCCCUUUAAGGAAUAAACUGACUCUGGGUUGCAUUAGCUCUGCCCCUUGAAUGAAUGAACUGACUUUCGGUUAUAUUCACUCUGAGACGGAAUUUUACCUUUUAAUGAAUGAACUCACUCUUGGUUGCAUUUACUCUGAGGCGGAAUGUGCCCCUUUAAUGAAUGAGCUGACUCUAGGUUGCGUUCGCUCUGAGGCAAAUUUUGCCAUUUUAUUGAAUGAGCUGGUUCUGGGUUGCAUUCGCUCUGAAGCGGAAUUAUGCAAUUAACAUCAACGUCAGUUUAAAAAAGGAAAUUACCAUGUAUGUCAUAUUAAAUGAGCAGGACUCUGUCUUUUUCAGACUUCUGCAUGCUGCAAAAGACCCAUUCUAGUACCUUUUUAAAUUUCCUCUCAUUUCAAGUCAAAAAUAUGAAAUAACAUUCAGUAUCUACUGUAACAU